UUAUUCUGGGAUGAAUUUGGAGGCACUGGGGCUUAUUUUGGAGUUGGACUUAGACCUGCAGACACUUAUCACUGUUAGAUGGGCCCUUCCAAGAGAAUUUGUAAACAGAGAUCUUGCUCUCAGGAAAUUUAACAUUUAAUUCAUAGAACCCAAAAUCACAGCCUACAGAGAAAUGCACUUUCUUAAGGUAAUGUGUUCUGUUUGCCAGCACUUUGACACACAGAGAAGUGCUGGCUUCAUAGAAAUAAUUAAUCCUCUUUUUCUGCCACUGGGAUAAACAAAGGAAAGAAAGAAAUAGAUGUUAUAAAAAAAUAAAAUCCAAGGCAGAUCAAAGGGGAUGUGGCGGAGGAUUCAGCAACUGCCACCCUUAAGCAAAGAACAGUAAUGAAGAAAUGAGUUUUGGCAGCCUAGCCAAUGGGAUAUGAAAGAAAUUAAUCCAGAAGGGAUGUAAUGACCUGAAAAAAAUGAUGAGCAAAGUCCAGAAGGAUUAGAAGAAAGAAAAAGGCAGCAGACAGAAUGGACUUCAGUGCAACAGGGAAUUAAACUGAAAUCAUUAAAUUCUUUCUGCUUAGCACUUUAGAGAAAAUUUCUAUCAGCCUGCCUAAGGUUGGAAAUGUUUGAGGAGGCAUUUAUCAUGAAAGCCGUGGCCUUUGCUCCUAAAGCUUCGUCUCACAAGUACAAUAACAAAAACUGCUAAUUAAAAGAGGGAAAACAACCAGGAGUCAAACACAAAGGGGCAUCCCUGCCUCAUCAGCACGGAACAAUCGACCAGCUCCCUUCACUGCCCACGCGAGGCUCCAUGUGAGGAAGCCUGCUCUGCCCUUCCAGGGAGGAAAAGACACCUAGAAGGAAGACCAAGAAAAGGCACAAGGAACUCAAGGAAGAAACAAAAUGAGGAAGGAAAAUUUAAGAGGAAUGGGGAGAUCAGCAGUGUUAAAUGUUACAGGGAAAAUCAAUAAGAUGACUGAGAAGGGUCCACAGAGGUCGACCACUACAAGGUCAUUGGUGACAUUAGAAAGAAGAGUCACACCAGAUUGGAGAGAAAGAAUGUCAACUUCAAUCAACUGAAGACAAAGAUGGAGACAAAGGUGAUAAGGCAGUAUCUCCUUAAUUCCAAAGAAGGGACUACAGACACUCAGGUGAGGAGGGUUUGCAGAAGAUAUAGGAAAGAAAGAGAGAGAAAAACCAAUGGAAAGAUUCCUGAGAAGUGCAAGCGGGUGUAAUCCAGAACACAAGGAAAUGGGCUUACUUCGGGUCUGAGGAGGCAGGGGAGCAGGAGAAAUGCUUAGGCACGCACAGACACAGACGCUCUGAAGUGGAGAAGCAGAAUGGUGAGGAGUUCAAAGCUGAGGAGCUUCUAGCUCGCCUGUGAAUAAGAAGCGGUGUCGCCGGUGCCUCUAUAUCUGAAGACCCAAGAAAGGUGGUAGGCAGGGUUAAUUCACAGUGUCAAAGAAGCCACCAACCAUUAGUACCUAGAAGUUAAAAAGUCCAAAUAUUUUUGGUAAAAAUUUGUGGGUACAGAAAAGGCAGUUGUCACUGCCUUUAUAAAAGUUUAGCUAAGGCUCCUUUUAGAAUAGUCCCAAUAGCCAUUUGUCUCUUUGACAUGUGGCUGGCAAGUCCUUCACUACAUGUUUCUACUUAGACCAGUUACAGUGCCUGAGAUUCCACCAUUAGAUGGUGUUUCUGUGGAGUACCUUGAGGAUAAGGAUUAGUUAACAACUAGUUUAGAGGGAUUAGUUAACAACUAGCUGAUGGCAAGAAGGGUAGUCUGAGUUUGAGGGUGGCUAGGAAGUCAAAAGAAAGUGAACUGUACUGAAGUCUAAGUUCACUUCCUCCAUGUGGAGACAUGCGCUGGCCUCGAGCAUAGUGCUGUGGUCAUGUGUCUGUUUGCAACAAACCCCAAAAAAGCAUGCAUCCUUUGCAGAUAUAUGAUGCCUGUCAAAGUCAAACUCAUGAAAGGGAAAAGUAAAUACACCUGGGCUUUACUAUAUGUUAUUUAGGCAAAGAUGUUUUUAACAAUAUCCUGCAAAAUAAUACAAAUGUGGAAGGAGAGAUUUAUCUCUAUGAGCACAGCAGGGCUGAAAGACACAGUGCAAUUGUUUUUAGAGAUUAGAAAGACAAGGCAGGCUUGAGAGGAGGAACAUUCACAUCAGGAAUCUGCUCUAAUGGUGGGGUUACUGGGAAGGAGCAUUCUGAUUAUGGGGUGAUGAGGUGGUAAGAUGCAGUAGAAGCCUCCCAUACAAAACACCUGGGUUGACUAAAAGUGCAGCAUUGGCCUGAUGCAACACUUCACCUAAUAUGAAGUGCAGAUGGGGAGCAACAAUGGACCAUCCUGAAAUAAAGAACCCUGGCAGAGCUGCAGACCUUUCCUGCCUGAUCCGUCAGACACCCUAGAGUAGACACAAUGGAUGAAGGCAAAUUGCAACAGGCCAGUGGAGGGGUAGCUCAAAGAACCUUUUCUUCCUUCCUGUGCCCCAGGUAAAUUCUGCUCAUCUUUAACCCAGUUCCAAUGUCAGCCCCUUGUAAAAGUUUCCCUGGUGGUCUUCCUACCCUUCAACAGAAUUCAAUGAGCCUACCUCUGUGCUUCCGUUAAAUGACAUUUGUGCUGGGAGUUCAGCAGCUCAUGCAAGUAGAUUGUGAAGGAGUCCUCCUUCUCAAUGGAUGCCCAACCCUGCAAAGACAGGCCUGUGCCUCCUCAUUUGGCCUCCUUCCCUCAGUCCCUAAUCCCCAGAAAAAAUGUAAUAAAUGUGUGUUGAAUUGAAAUACAUAUGGGAACUUAGCACAUUGAGAAUGUUUUUGAAACUUCAAUUUCUUGGCCAAUUACACAUAAAAUUAGGAAAGUGGCUGAAUGACAAAUAUUAAACUCUGAAUCGUCUUCAAAAUGUAUAAUAAUGUGUGAAGCAGCAGGAAUCUUUAUUCUCUCCCUCUAAAAAUAUAAUUAUAGAGCAAGAAAUGACUGGAAGAAUCAUUUGCUCCAUUCUCCUCUGCCUCCAAGUAGGUUAUAUUAAAUUAUCCAAGACAGAUGAAAAUAUAUUCUUCUUUUUUUAUUUCAAAAAAAGAGAUUAUAAUUCUACCAUUCUAGUAUAAAAAAGGGCCUCAGCAAAGCACUUCAUUCUGACUUCUUCUCUAAAGCCCACAUGGUUCAUUUUAAGUUGAGAUAGAACCAG